ACCUACAUUUGGAUACAUUUUCUCAAUUUCUGGCUCAGACCGAAAGGGCUAGGUUAGACCCUACAUCUAACAAAAUCAAGGCCCCCAAAAAAAUCGCGCACGAGAGCCCGUGGUGAAGGGUGAUAUCCCAGGGAAUGUCACAUCGAAGUUCAACUGAUUUGCUUGGCUAACGUUACAUCCUCGGUUUGUGAAAUUACAGUUGCCACUCUUGGACAAAAUUUCACACACUAGUCUUCCCCCUCGAUUGCGGAAUCGUCCUAUAAGAGGACAACCUGUAGCAAGUGAGAGGCGAAAGCGUGUUAUGUUUUACUAUAUUAGAUCACUCCAAUAUAUUGCUAUCACUCCAUGGCGGAGGGAUACAUCCGAGGAUUUACAGAUUACCUCCCGUGUACACCUGUGUCUCGACUGGGGUCCGCCCCUAUAGAUAGACCCCAUGGCCGCGACACAUUCCCUUUCAUUUUCUCGGCGGACGUCCGUAUGGUUUGAGGUACAAACUUUCUGAAGUUCGCUUGGUAAAUUACUGGUAACUGUAAUAUCUUGCGUGGAAGUAUACUCACUGGCUGUUUGCAGCCUGGAGCAGCUGGCCCUCUUGAGUGCUCCACUCGCUGCGCGCGGUUGAUCUGUAUCUUCCGCUCGUGGUUUGUUGUGCUUGUGUUUUGUUAGCGUUAUACUACGACUCCGUGUACAUUAAUAUAUUGGGGGCCCUGCUGCCACAAACUGUAAUUGACCUUACACAACUUGCCGACUGGCUUGUUCUAUGUGUGUUUUGUGAAUUGCUUUAACAUGUUGCUCCCGGGUUCUCUGAUAAUUAUCUUGCAGGGUUUUUUCUUGUUCUUUCCCCUGCAGUGUGUGAGUAUCGUAGAAAACUACAUUGAGACAUUAACUUUUAGGUUCCUUAAAGGGCACUACUCCAUAUGGUGCUGUUUUUACUGCUUGGAUAUUAAACCGGUAGGUAAUAUUGCAAUUGGCGUAAAACAAAUAAAUCAAAUCCAUUACCUGGUUGAUGUUUUUUUUUUUUUGUCUGCCAUUUUUUUUGCAGAGAUACUGGGUAAUUUAUCCCUCACCGGGUUCCUAUUCCUCCAAGUGGGUCACGACAUGCCUCUCCCAGGGCGUUGGACCCUGCUCUGUGGCCUUGUUGGCUUGACUGAGCUUAUGGCUUCCCUUUGUGACAGGUGUGGCGGUGUCAACCGUCACCGCCAUAGGGAUGUGCCUGGGAGACCCAGGUGCUCGGGGCUCCAGAGAAGAGGAAAGCCCCGGCAGGACCUCUGAAACAUUCUCCAGGUCUCAAAGGGCAAAGUGGGAGGAGGGUGUGGAGUCCCCCUGGGUGUUGUCCACAAUGCCGACCCCAACCCCCCCCCCCCCCCCCGGAAGAAAACCCUGCGGCUGGAGAUCUCCUCACUCCUGAAGAAAAGUGACUUCCGCGGGAUCGAUACAUCAGAACCACUAGGUAAAUUCCUGACAAUAAACUGUUGGGCCCCAAGUAUGAUGCCAAUGUGCCAGAAGAUAACAGGUUUCAUCCAAGCAUGCUCUCCCAAUAUGUAAAGCGUAUCAAGGUUAAGAUGGGUUUGCUUGUUGAUCUAACAAACACUACCGGCUUCUACAGUAUGACCGCAACGUAAUCGAGAACGAGGGUGUUAAAUAUGUGAAGCUUCAGUGCAAAGGAGACUACUGAGAUGUUCAUCAGACUGUGAGCACUUCAUGGAGAAGACUACCACUGAAUUGGUGUCCACUGCACGCACGGCUUCAAUCGGACAUGCUUUCUGAUCUGUGCAUACCUGGUGGAGAAGAUGGAUUGGAGGACAAUACAGUGCCACUGACACGGCCCGCUACCAGAACCUGCGGGCUUUCCUUCACCGCGGCCAACGUGAGUAAAACAUUUCAACGUGUUAACCCUCGCAAGGCUGCCAGCCCAGACGGCAUCCCUAGCCGCAUCCUCAGAGCAUGCACAGACCAGCUGGCUGGUGUGUUUAUGGACAAUCAAUCUCUAUCCCAGUCUGCUGUUCCCACAUGCUUCAAGAGGGCCACCAUUGUUCCUGUUCCCAAGAAAGCUAAGGUAACUGAGCUAAACGACUAUCGCCCCGUAGCACUCACUUCCGUCAUCAAGAAGUGCUUUGAGACUAGUUACUGAUCAUAUCACCUCCACACUACCUGACACCCUAGACCCACUCCAAUUUGCUUACUGCCCCAAUAGGUCCACAGACGACGCAAUCACACUGCCCUAACCCACCUGGACAAGAGGAAUACCUAUGUGAGAAUGCUGUUCAUCGAUUACAGCUCAGCAUUUAACACCAUAGUACCCUCCAAACUCGUCAUCAAGCUUGAGACCCUGGUUCUCGACCCCGCCCUGUGCAACUGGGUCCUGGACUUUCUGACAGGCCGCCCCCAGGUGGUGAGGGUAGGAAACAUCUCCACCCCGCUGAUCCUCAACACUGGGGCCCCACAAGGGUGUGUCCUCAUCCCUCUCCUGUACUCUCUGUUCACCCAUGACUGCUUGGCCGUGCACGCCUCCAACUCAAUCAUCAAGUUUGCGGACGACACUACAGUGGGAGGCUUGAUUACCAACAACGACGAGACAGCCUACAGGGAGGAGGUGAGGGCCCUCGGAGUGUGGUGUCAGGAAAGUAACCUCGCACUCAACGUCAACAAAACAAAGGAGAUGAUGGACUUCAGGAAACAGCAGAGGGAGCACCCCCCUAGCCACAUCGACGGGACAGUUGUGGAGAAGGUGGGAAGUUAAGUUCCUCGGCGUACACAUCACAGACAAACUGAAAUGGUCCACCCACACAGACAGCGUAGUGAAGAAGGCGCAACAGUGCCUCUUGAACCUCAAGAGGGUGAAGAAAUUUGGCUUGUCACCGAAAACACUCAAACUUCCGUGCACCUUUCAUCCAAGCUACUCAAUACUGCCCCUGCAGCCAUAAGAAGUUAAUUAAACCUAUGUAAAAUAUGUUUUGUUUUUUGAAUUUUAAUGAGUAUUUCUGUAUUUGAAUUUGGCGCCCAGCAGUUUCACUGGCUGUUGAAGAGGUGGGACGCUAACGUCUCACGUACCCAUUACAGAUGCACAAUCGAGAGCAUCCUGUCGGGCUGUAUCAAUUCCUGUUACGGCAACUGCUCCGUCCACAACCGUAAGGCUCUCCAGAGGGUAGUGAGGUCAGCACUUAGUUGACCGGGGCAGCUCUAACAGGGCAAACAUUUGACGACCUGACUUGUUGGAAAGGUGGCAUCCUAUGACGGUGCCACUUUAAGUCACUGAGAUCUUAAGGCCAUUCUACUGCCAAUGUUUGUCUAUGGAGAUCGCAUGGUCGUGUGCUCUAUUUUAUCCACCUUUCAGCAACGGGUGUGGCUGAAAUAGCCAAAACCACUAAUUUGAAGGGGUGCCAACAUACUUUUGUGUGUGUAUAUAUCUUUGUUCCAUUUUGAGUAGAUUGGUAAUGUUAGUUUGAGUAAGAAUAUAUAGAAUUUGGAGACUAUGCCCUUACUUACCCUUGCUGUCGUUAUUUUGUGAAUAGGAUGAGAUUCUAGAUUUGAACCUCAGGGUUCCAUAAGCAUGUACAGCAGAACAAAGCUGCAAAUAAAAGAAAAAUGAAGAACCAGGCAGACUGUAUAGCUUUUUCAAGUCUUGGAACGCAUGUAAGCUACAACUGUCCACAAUGCCAGAGAGAGUAUGAUUUCCCUUCUCACUCCAAGCUGGAAAAUAUAUUGUCUGGCCACCCAAGAGGAGAAUAGAACUUCCGCACUCAACAACCCGGUCGCAUUCCGCUUCGCUCCACAGGUAGUAUCACAUUUUCAUUUCACUACAGUACAACGGUUUGAUUUGUUUGAUCGUAGCUAGCUACAUAGCUAGCUACAUAGCCGUCUUUGUAUCAAAGAUAAUUGUGUAGUCUAGAGCGAUUUUCUAGGUUAGCUAGCCAGCUAUUGUCGUUCUUUUAACGCAACGUAACGUAAUCAACACUGCUAGCUAGCCAGCUAGCCACCGACUAGCAGCACUGUAGCAGCACUGUAGAAACUAUUACACUCAACGGAACGACUUGAUCAGUGUAGUGUCAACAACGCAGCCACUGCCAACUAGCCUACUUCAGCAGUACUGUAUCAUUUUAAUCAUUUUAGUCAAUAAGAUUCUUGCUACGUAAGCUUAACUUUCUGAACAUUCGAGACGUGUAGUCCACUUGUCAUUCCAAUCUCCUUUGCAUUAGCGUAGCCUCUCCUGUAGCCUGUCAACUAUGUGUCUGUCUAUCCCUGUUCUCUCCUCUCUGCACAGACCAUACAAACGCUUCACACCGCGUGGCCGCGGCCACCCUAAUCUGGUGGUCCCAGCGCGCACGACCCACGUGGAGUUCCAGGUCUCCGGUAGCCUCUGGAACUGCCGAUCUGCGGCCAACAAGGCAGAGUUCAUCUCAGCCUAUGCCUCCCUCCAGUCCCUCGACUUCUUGGCACUGACGGAAACAUGGAUCACCACAGAUAACACUGCUACUCCUACUGCUCUCUCUUCGUCCGCCCACGUGUUCUCGCACACCCCGAGAGCAGCUGGUCAGCAGGGUGGUGGCACCGGGAUCCUCAUCUCUCCCAAGUGGUCAUUCUCUCUUUCUCCCCUUACCCAUCUGUCUAUCGCCUCCUUUGAAUUCCAUGCUGUCACAGUUACCAGCCCUUUCAAGCUUAACAUCCUUAUCAUUUAUCGCCCUCCAGGUUCCCUCGGAGAGUUCAUCAAUGAGCUUGAUGCCGUGAUAAGCUCCUUUCCUGAGGACGGCUCACCUCUCACAGUUCUGGGCGACUUUAACCUCCCCACGUCUACCUUUGACUCAUUCCUCUCUGCCUCCUUCUUUCCACUCCUCUCCUCUUUUGACCUCACCCUCUCACCUUCCCCCCCUACUCACAAGGCAGGCAAUACGCUUGACCUCAUCUUUACUAGAUGCUGUUCUUCCACUAACCACAUUGCAACUCCCCUCCAAGUC